CCUGAGCCGAGGUCGGACGCUUAACCGACUGAGCCACCCAGGCGCCCCAAGGGUCCACUUUUAACCGCGGUGGAAUGAACUGAGACAUCAAUAACAGAAAGGUAACUGGAAAAUACACAACCAUCUGCAAAGUAAACAACACGCUUCUAAAUAACAAAUAGAUCCAAGCAGGAACCCCAAGGUAAAUUAGAAAAUAUUGUGAGCUGAAUAAAAACGAAAACGCAACGCAUCGACAUCUAUGAGAUACCGCUAACUUAUAGUUAGAGGGCUAUCGUUAGCUUCGAAUUAUUAUAGAAAAAAGAGAAAGAUCUAAAAUCAAUGAUCUAAGCUUCCGUCGUCAGAAGCUGGAAAAAGAGGAGCGAACUAGAUGCGGAGUGGGUAGGAAGGAAAGGAAGGAAAUCAAAAGGAUGAGAGGAGAAAUCAGUGAAAGAGGAACCAAACAAUGGAGAAAACCAAUGAAGCCCAAAGCUGGCUCUUAGAAAAAAGAAAUCAAGAAAACGUAUAAAUCAGACGGACUCGAGAACGGAGAAGGUCUACCUUCCGGGUAUCUCGGAUGGAAAAGCAGAGUUCACGCCAAUGCCAUGGACAUAAAGGGGAUGACCAGCACUUCCCAGACUCCAUCCUGCCAACAAAUUCUUAGAUGAAAUCUCUGCUCGAAUGGGUACCACUUCCUGAAGUUCAUUCCAAGUGCACAGAAAACCUGGGCAUACUCGUCUCUUAAAGACACCGGAUUCAUAAUUUAAAACCUUCCAACAAAGAAACUCGAGGCACAGAGGAUUCCCUGGUGAAUUCUAGGACACAUUUAAGGCAGAAAUAGUGCCAUCCCUGUACAAACUUCCAGAAAGCAGGAGGGCGGAGCACCUCCCCACUUCCCACGAGGCCGGCAUCACCCUAAUGUGAAAACCAGAUGAACAUACCGUACGAAAGUAAAACUAUGGAAUCCUUGCUGAUACAGAUAACAAAAACCUUUCACAAAACGUAUUUAAAUUGAAUCCAAAGCAAAAAGAUAGUAGACCGUGGCCAAAUGGCGUUUACACUAGGAAUUCAAGGUUAAAGUUUUACAAUCAAUCAGUACGUCCACCAGUAACAGAACAGAGGAGUAAAAAACAUGAUCAUCUCAAUGGAGGCAGAAAAAGUAUUUGACAAAAUCCAACACUAAUUUAUGAUCAAAACUCUCAACCAAUUAGGAAUUAAGGGGAAAAAACCCCACAAAACCCUCAACCCGAGAAAGGGCGUCUACAGAAAAACCCUACAGCUGACAUCAUAACCGAUGGUGAAAAGCUUCACUUUGUCUCUAAGAUGAGAACAGAGCAAGAAUAUGCAUUCUCACACCGUGUGCUUCUCUCAUAUUAGAUAUCCCAGCAGGAGCAGCAAGGCAAGAAAGAGAAAUAGGAGAGACAAAAGACAUCCAGUCUGAAAGGAAGAAGCAAUUCUCUAUCUGCAGAUGUCGACAAUCAUAGGAAAUCGGCAAAAAGCAACUGACAGACUGAUACUAAAAUUUAUUUGAAAAUACAAGAAACCCGGAACAACAAAAGAUGUCGUGAUAGCUCGAUGGGGGGAAAGGACUGUCUUUUCCACAAACGUUCUGGAACAAAUGGAUAUCCAUGCAGAGAGAAUGAAUCUCAGUCCUUUCCCGCCCCGCGUGAAGGUGGGCUAGACUGAGCGACAUCCUUCCAAAGAGCAGAGUAAGGAAGGGGAAACAGCAACUCGGCAGUGGGGAAGCCAGGGAUUCAAAGGGAUAUCGUGGGCCCCCUCAUCCUUUCCCCAGAUCCAUACCCUUUGGCUGAUCUUGAAGAAAACCUCAGACAAACCCAGCCUGGGGGACAUUCUAUAGACUCUCCAAAGUGUCUGAGUCAGACGGCCCUGUCAGACGGGGCCAACGGAGAAGACCCAAGGGCCAGUGUGACACAGACGGGACCGUGGCUUGGAUGCUGCACAGAAGACGGACAUCCAGAGAAAAACUGGUGAAAUCCGAAUGAAGUGUGGGGUUGAGUUAAUAAAAAAAAGUCACAUUCAUUAUCAA